rnacentral:rRNA from 1 species
UACAGAGGGGGCGAGCGUUGUUCGGAAUUACUGGGCGUAAAGGGCGCGUAGGCGGCCGACUAAGUCAGACGUGAAAUCCCCCGGCUCAACCGGGGAACUGCGUCUGAUACUGGACGGCUUGAAUCCGGGAGAGGGAUGUGGAAUUCCAGGUGUAGCGGUGAAAUGCGUAGAUAUCUGGAGGAACACCGGUGGCGAAGGCGGCAUCCUGGACCGGUAUUGACGCUGAGGCGCGAAAGCCAGGGGAGCAAACGGG